AUUGAACGCUGGCGGCAGGCCUAACACAUGCAAGUCGAACGAGUGGCGGACGGGUGAGUAAUGUCUGGGAAACUGCCUGAUGGAGCGGGGUAACUUCUGGAAACGGUAGCUAAAUCCGCAUAUCAUUAGCUGUGCCCAGAUGGGACUAGCUAGUAGGUGAGGUAACGGCUCACCUAGGCGACGAUCCCUAGCUGGUCUGAGAGGCUGACCAGCCACACUGGAACUGAGACACGGUCCAGACUCCUACGUGAGGCAGCAGUGGGGAAUAGUGCACAAUGGGCGAAAGCCUGAUGCAGCCAUGCCGCGUGUAUGAAGAAGGCCUUCGGGUUGUAAAGUACUUUCAGCGGGGAGGCGUUACCCGCAGAAGAAGCACCGGCUAACUCCGUGCCAGCCGCCGCGGUAAUAC
rnacentral:rRNA from 1 species